rnacentral:misc_RNA from 1 species
GAAAUGCGAUAAGUAGUGUGAAUUGCAGAAUUCAGUGAAUCAUCGAAUCUUUGAACGCACAUUGCGCCCUUUGGUAUUCCAAAGGGCAUGCCUGUUCGAGCGUCAUUUGUACCCUCAAGCUUUGCUUGGUGUUGGGCGUCUUGUCUCCAGUUCGCUGGAGACUCGCCUUAAAGUAAUUGGCAGCCGGCCUACUGGUUUCGGAGCGCAGCACAAGUCGCGCUCUCUUCCAGCCAAGGUCAACAUCCACAAAGCCUUUUUUCAACUUUUGACCUCGGAUCAGGUAGGGAUACCCGCUGAACUUAAGC